AGUGAACGCUGGCGGUAGGCCUAACACAUGCAAGUCGAACGGCAGCACAGUAAGAGCUUGCUCUUACGGGUGGCGAGUGGCGGACGGGUGAGGAAUACAUCGGAAUCUACUUUUUCGUGGGGGACAACGUAGGGAAACUUACGCUAAUACCGCAUACGACCUACGGCUGAAAGCAGAGGAUCUUCGGACCUUGCGCGAUUGAAUGAGCCGAUGUCGGAUUAGCUAGUUGGCGGGGUAAAGGCUCACCAAGGCGACGAUACGUAGCUGGUCUGAGAGGAUGAUCAGCCACACUGGAACUGAGACACGGUCCAGACUCCUACGGGAGGCAGCAGUGGGGAAUAUUGGGCAAUGGGCGCAAGCCUGACCCAGCCAUGCCGCGUGGGUGAAGAAGGCCUUCGGGUUGUAAAGCCCUUUUAUUGGGGAAGAAAAGCAGCGUGUUAAUCCCCCGCUGUUCUGACGGUACCCAAAGAGUAAGCACCGGCUAACUUCGUG
rnacentral:rRNA from 1 species